ACGAUGCAUAGCCGACCUGAGAGGGUGAUCGGCCACAUUGGGACUGAGACACGGCCCAAACUCCUACGGGAGGCAGCAGUAGGGAAUCUUCGGCAAUGGACGCAAGUCUGACCGAGCAACGCCGCGUGAGUGAAGAAGGUUUUCGGAUCGUAAAACUCUGUUGUUAGAGAAGAACAAGGAUGAGAGUAGAAUGUUCAUCCCUUGACGGUAUCUAACCAGAAAGCCACGGCUAACUACGUGCCAGCAGCCGCGGUAAUACGUAGGUGGCAAGCGUUGUCCGGAUUUAUUGGGCGUAAAGCGAGCGCAGGCGGUUUCUUAAGUCUGAUGUGAAAGCCCCCGGCUCAACCGGGGAGGGUCA
rnacentral:rRNA from 1 species